GGUAACACGAAAUCGUACCCCAAACCGACACAGGUGGUCAGGUAGAGAAUACCAAGGCGCUUGAGAGAACUCGGGUGAAGGAACUAGGCAAAAUGGUGCCGUAACUUCGGGAGAAGGCACGCUGAUAGGUAGGUGAAGUCCCUGCGGACGGAGCUGAAAUCAGUCGAAGAUACCAGCUGGCUGCAACUGUUUAUUAAAAACACAGCACUGUGCAAACACGAAAGUGGACGUAUACGGUGUGACGCCUGCCCGGUGCCGGAAGGUUAAUUGAUGGG
rnacentral:rRNA from 1 species